GAUGAAGAACGUAGUGAAAUGCGAUACGUAAUGUGAAUUGCAGAAUUCAGUGAAUCAUCGAAUCUUUGAACGCAUAUUGCGCUCUUUGGUAUUCCGAAGAGCAUGCUUGUUUGAGUAUCAGUAAACACCUCAACCUCUUCUUGAUUUUUCAAAAGGAGGGUGGACUUGAGCUAUCCCAACAACCUUUACCGGUCGGCGGGCGGCUUGAAAUGCAGGUGCAGCUGGACUUUUAUCUGAGCUAAAAGCAUAUCUAUUUAGUCCUCGUCAAACAGGAUUAUUACUUUUGCUGCAGCUAACAUAAAGGAUAAUUGUCCUCUUUGCUGACUGAUGCAGGAUUUUACGACACUUUAUGUGUUGUUCAACUCGAUCUCAAAUCAAGUAAGACUACCCGCUGAACUUAAGCAUAUCAAUAACGGAGG
rnacentral:misc_RNA from 1 species